GACGAACGCUGGCGGCGUGCUUAACACAUGCAAGUCGAACGGAAAGGCCCUGCUCUUGUGGGGUGCUCGAGUGGCGAACGGGUGAGUAACACGUGAGUAACCUGCCCUUGACUUUGGGAUAACUUCAGGAAACUGGGGCUAAUACCGGAUAGGAUCUCCUGCUGCAUGGUGGGGGUUGGAAAGUUUCGGCGGUUGGGGAUGGACUCGCGGCUUAUCAGCUUGUUGGUGGGGUAGUGGCUUACCAAGGCUUUGACGGGUAGCCGGCCUGAGAGGGUGACCGGCCACAUUGGGACUGAGAUACGGCCCAGACUCCUACGGGAGGCAGCAGUGGGGAAUAUUGCACAAUGGGCGGAAGCCUGAUGCAGCAACGCCGCGUGCGGGAUGACGGCCUUCGGGUUGUAAACCGCUUUCGCCUGUGACGAAGCGUGAGUGACGGUAAUGGGUAAAGAAGCACCGGCUAACUACGUG
rnacentral:rRNA from 1 species